UGAUGUGUUUACGUUUUACAUGUUGAUUUGAUAAGCUUUUAACUUUGACCCUCUAUACAGAAUAUAUAUGUCUCAUUUCAUUUAUUCAAAAUUGAUUUAUUAGAUAUCUAAAAUCUAGGCACUGUGGAAGACCUCGGGAAAAAUUUGAAGAUGUUUCUGUGCUAUUGGAUUUUGCCAGACUUCUUGGAAUCCCUGGGUGGCGCAGCGGUUUAGCGCCUGCCUUUGGCCCGGGGCGUGAUCCUGGAGACCCGGGAUCGAAUCCCGCGUCGGGCUCCUGGUGCAUGGAGCCUGCUUCUCCCUCUGCCUGUGUCUCUGCUUCUCUCUCUCUCUCUGUGUGACUAUCAUAAAUAAAUAAAAAUUUAAAAAAAGAACAUUUAAAAAAAAGGAAAUAUAUUAAAUUAAAUGAGACUAAUAUAUAGUACUGACUUACGUGGUCCAUAAAAAUGAAAUUUCAUUCUUAAGUUGUUUUUUUUCAAUGCAGCAAUGUCUGAUUUUGCCUGAUGCAAUAAGUAUUGCCACUGAUUCAUAUUAGCAUUUUGCUAUAGUUCAUUGCCAAAAUGUAGUCACUUGGCCCUAACUAGCUGCGAGGAAGGAAGAAUGUCCUUACUUUUUUCCUAAAUCACAAUGUAUCCAAUGAACAUUAAGAU
rnacentral:lncRNA from 1 species